AUACGGAGGGUGCGAGCGUUGUUCGGAAUCACUGGGCGUAAAGGGCGCGCAGGCGGUCUGUCAAGUCAGAUGUGAAAGCCCACGGCUCAACCGUGGACGUGCAUCUGAAACUGGCAGACUCGAGUACCGGAGGGGAAAGUGGAAUUCCCGGUGUAGGGGUGAAAUUCGUAGAUAGCGGGAGGAAUACCGGAGGCGAAGGCGACUUUCUGGACGGAUACUGACGCUGAGGCGCGAAAGCGUGGGGAGCGAACAGGAUUAGAUACCCUAGUAGUCC
rnacentral:rRNA from 1 species